CUCUUGUCACUUCCGGCUCCCAGCGCUCUCUGAAAGCUAGGCUAGCGGAGCUUAUAAAGAUCGGAUGGUAGAGCUUUCGCUUUCCCCUCAGACGCUCCAGAUGUAGACUAGGUGAGCUCUCUGCCCGGGAGGGACAGAUCGUCGGAGCCCGCGGGCGGAAGGCGAGUCGUGGCGGGGUUAGGGCUCUGGAGUCCGGCCCGGCCCGGCAGUCCCCUGAGCUUGAAAGAAUUGAAUGCCUCCUCAGUUGUCACCCAGGCUGAUCUUGCGCAGGCUGUUGGCUUCUCGUGGAGUUUGAGUUUUUGGACAGUGACGUAGGAUGGCUGUGUUGCCCAGACAAGAGAAGAAAAAGAAGAACCUGUUGCUUAAGUUCUGGAGACAUUUUUGUUGCUGUUGUUUACUGAGCAUGUGAAGGGAGGUCUUUCUGCCUUGCCUGUUUUAUUUUCAGGAAGCAGGGUUGGGAAUGAACCCUGGCGCUGAGACAGCCAUCCUGAAGCUAGAACAAGCCGGAAGAACAAAUAAACCCCAGUUUCUUGUAUCCUGGCUGAUGUAUUUAGUGAAUGGCCUAGGGGGCUGAACAACCUGCAUUAAAGCUUGCUGCAGAUACAUGAGACAGAGUCAACUGAGCUUGGGGCAGCUCUCCAAGACGGAUGCUGUGCCCAAUUUAAAAAGACAAAGUCAAAUAGGAUGAGGUUUGGGUUUGAACUUUUGUUUUUUUUUUCAGAUGACCUCAGUAUGUAGCCUACGACUUUUUUUAAACUGGUGUUUCUCCUGCCUGGGCCCUCUGAAUACUAGAAAUGCAGGUAUGCACCAUGGGGUUGAGGUGUUAACCAUUUCUAAAAUAAAAUAAACCUGUAAGGCUUUAAGUAACACUAAAAAUAAAAAUAAAAGGGCAUUUUGUACAAAAAAAAAAAAAAAAA
rnacentral:lncRNA from 1 species